GGACACAGUCUCCACAUUUUCCUUCAUGACUUGUUGAUGCAAGGCCUUUUGGUCCAGAUCCAGCAGGGCCCACUCCUCAUCACUGAAAAACACAGCCACCUCUUGGAAGGUCACCUGGACAAAGAAACAUUAUUGGCACAGCCCUGAAAUGGCACGACCUGAGCAAGGAAGAGUAAGGCGUUGUUGUUGUUGUUGUGUGCCACCAGGCCAACUUCGACGGAUGGUGAUGCUAUGAUGAGAGACCUCCAAGCCAUGUCUGCUCAGAUCUUGGCGAUUCAGGACAGCCACGGCUCCCUUGGUGGAGUGCAUUCUCCUACAGUCCAAUCUCUCUCUUUUCCUGCUGCCUUCUCUUUUACUAAAACUUAUUGUCUUUUAUAGUGAGCCCAGUGUAAUUGUGAUAUGGCCACAUUACAACUAUGUCAGUUCAGACAUCUUGGCUUCUAGUGGGAAUUAAAGCUUGAUUUUCUCUGG